rnacentral:lncRNA from 1 species
CUUAUGCCCCCCGCCCCCGCCUCGGCCGCGUCCCCGCGCUCCCGGCAGCCUGCGAGGGGGAGGAGGAGGGGGCGUGGGGUCCGCCGCCGCUGCAGACAACGACAGGAGCCGGGUGCUGGACCCAAACCUGGAGGGGACGCCAGAGCCACGGCGAGGCUUUUGCACGCUGGGGCCCCACCCCACCUCAAGGGGACCACGCCUGCGCCUUAACUCUGGCAGCGCCGCCGGCGCCGCGAGCUAGAAUUUGCUUGGCAUCGAGAGGUGCCCUGGGUGUUGGCAGGCGGCGCCUCCCUCACUUUGGGCCGGACAGUGUGUGUGUGUGUGUGUGUGUGUGUGUGUGUGUGUGUGNNNNNNNNNNNNNNNNNGUGUGUGUGUGUGUGUGUGUGUGUGUGUGUGUGUGUGUGUGUGUGUCCUUUGGCCUCACCAGAGGCUCCAAAUCGGCCACCCGCACCCAGAGGCAAGGUACUUCUGGGCCCACACAGCUUCUGGAGGCCCAGCUCCCAGGAAUGCUAGGGACCGUUAAUGCGACUUUUAGCCUAAAGGCCAAGGAUACAUUAGCGAAGGGCAAACACGGCACAAUGAUCAUUUAUCAUCUGGAGCCGGAGAGGGCGCUGGGAACCCUGUCCUGGCCUCAGGACUCAAGCUGAACCUAACUAAGGGAGUGACAAGCAGGACUGGCCACAUCUGUGAUUAUUCCAAGGCAGCUGCUCCUGCAGAAACACAGAGUCUUUGUCAGCAUCCUGUGCCCUGGCCCAGUUUCCAUGACGGCCAUCGGUCCUCAGGCUGCUUGUCAGAGAAGAACCCAUCACUCUGACCAUGGUCAGGAGGCAGCUUGCCCGGGUCCUGGGAAACCCACUGCAUCGGCUCUGGCUCUGGCUCUACGUCCACCUCUCACCACAGCGCCCCUCCCCCACCUGUGAAGGUAAAGUCUUUCCUUUCUGAUCUUGUCACUUGUCACUAGGCAAGACCACGCCCUCCAUGCCAGCUUCCGGACUGCCUGGCGUGCUGAGACAUGAGCAGAAGCAGACAGAGAGGCCGAGGUCUUCAGAGGAACCCGGGAGAGGGUGGCGAGCAGUGGCUACCUGCCCUUGGGCUGCGUCCUGGAGGCGCUUCACCCUGACCUUGGCUUCCUACCCUCUGGGUGGUGUCACCCCAGGUCUGGAGGCGG